rnacentral:tRNA from 1 species
GGGCGAGUAGCUCAGCUGGUUAGANNGUCACAGGUUCGAUCCCUGUCUCGCCCA